rnacentral:rRNA from 1 species
UAUGAGGUGGAUUUCGUGAUAACUAACUCGAAGACAAACGACAAAGCGAUUAUUGACGUGCAUGGCAGACCGCAUUAUUUCGUGAAUGAUCCAACGCAAAUG